rnacentral:lncRNA from 1 species
UAAUUCUCUUCGCCCUGGAAUAUAGGAAAACACCAGAAAGAGCUAUACCAUACCUAAUGCGUUAAUUGGUGAGACAGGUGUUUGGAAAAAUAUGACAGAGCUCACUAUAACUAUCACACGCUUCAGACAGUUUGCUACAGAAUGAGUAACAGAAGGAGACUCACCAAUUGAAAGAGACCUCUGUAGCAGACGCCAGCGCCACUCCACCAGCAAUUGGCACAAGGGAAGCAACCACCCAUGCUGUAGGCAUCUGUAACAAAGUUAAGUAAGGAAUUAAAAUUGCAAAUAUCAAUUCACAAUGUAUUGAAUGUUGAAGCAGCACCAUGAUUUAUUUUUCCUUCAAAAUUACAAGCUUAGCAUACAUAAUAUAUUUUGAUUAAUUGAAGCAGAACUAAUGAUCAUUUUAUGAACUUUCUGGAGAGGACUUGA